rnacentral:rRNA from 1 species
CCUACGGGAGGCAGCAGUGAGGAAUAUUGGUCAAUGGACGGAAGUCUGAACCAGCCAUGCCGCGUGCAGGAAGACGGCUCUAUGAGUUGUAAACUGCUUUUGUACAAGGGUAAACCUGAAUACGUGUAUUCAGCUGAAAGUACUGUACGAAUAAGGAUCGGCUAACUCCGUGCCAGCAGCCGCGGUAAUACGGAGGAUCCAAGCGUUGUCCGGAUUUAUUGGGUUUAAAGGGUGCGUAGGCGGAUUGAUAAGUUAGGGGUGAAAUGUUCGAGCUUAACUCGGGAACUGCCUCUAAUACUGUUGGUCUAGAGAGUAGAUGCGGUAGGCGGAAUGUAUGGUGUAGCGGUGAAAUGCUUAGAGAUCAUACAGAACACCGAUUGCGAAGGCAGCUUACCAAUCUAUAUCUGACGUUGAGGCACGAAAGCGUGGGGAGCAAACAGGAUUAGAUACCCCUGUAGUC